AGAUGAUGAGGACAGACAAGGAUGAGGGGAAGGCGGACAGAGCUGGCGGUCUCCAUCCUUCAAGGACUCAUUCCUGAGGACUGAGCAGCACAUAUCAACUAAUUUCAGAAAUAUUUCAGCUGAUGGUAGCCAGCAAAAAGUUUCUGAAAGACUCAAAGUAAUGCCAAGAACUUCCAGGUGAAGGAGACCUUCAUAGACCUGUAACUGGAUUAGCCACUUCUUGAAUUGCAAGAGGAAGUUACAACUAAUUCUCAGGAUCAAAGUCAAAACAAGCCUGUGACUCCAUGAAUACUGAAGGUAUAAACAGGCCUCCCCAGGACAAGCACAGGAGCCCUUGUUAUUAGAAGGAAGAGUUACUUUGUUAUUCAAACAUACACCCACACAUAUCCUCUUCACCCUCCCUAAUGAAAAACCUCAACAGAUGGAGAGCCUGGGCUCCAGGGGCUGCUGGCUGGGAAGGGCCAGCUAGCUGGUGCAGACUGGGGAAGAAGGGAGAAGUGGCUUGUAUAGGUAAUCACUAUCUUUUAAUAGUUCUUACAGAUAGAAAUUCAAUACAUGUUGUUCAGCAAGGUGAGCGGCCUCUGGGGCCUGGGAAACCAAUUUGGCUGAUGUGUCUUUGAUAGGGAUGGGUUUGGGGCUGCACCAAAGGGAAUGUACUUUCUUUAUAUUAUCUUCCCCUCUCUCAUUUGAAAGCCUGUACAAAGAAAUGGUACAAAUGGUCGGUUAACUUAAUGAUUCCAUUGGAGGUGGAUAUUUCUCUGUCAGGUCCCGGGAUGAGGCUGAAGUCUGCAAACCAGAAGGCAGAAUAUGUAGUUAAUUGCCCUCUCUUACCUCCUUACCAGUGCCAGGACUACUCUUCAAGGCCUGUUCCUCAGCAGCUUCUGCAAUUUCCUGGUUAGCUCCAUUCUAGGCCCUCUACUGCAGACUGGAUCCUGAGUUUUUCCUGGUUGCAAGGAACUCUCUCCUUCGGCUUAAAUUAUUUCUCACUCCAACCCCUGCUGUGCAGCAGGCUAUUCCACCCUGCCUUAAUUCACAUUUGAUUGCUUGGACAGAACCACCCAGGAUGCCAGGUGGACAGCCACCCCUCACCCAUGGGCCUAGGCUCACAGCCCUGACCCCUUUCUUCAGAUCUCAAGAGACCCCCUAACCACCUUGACACCCCACCAGCACCAACACACACACACACACACACACCCCAAAAACGCAGUUGCCAUAGGGUAAGGGAGAACUGGCCAAAGGCACGAGCUUAAGAGCCAUUUCCUCUCUUAGGCAACCACGGUAGAUCCCAGAGACCAAAGCCCCAGUGAGCAAGAGGGGCCAGCUUCUUCCCACCUCCGGCCACCAGCCUGUGCUGCCUACAUACGGCCUCCUCUGCUGUAGAACCCAUGGGGAAGCAGCGCACACAAUGGCGUGCGUGUUCCCGGCUUCUGGCUGCUCUGGGCACCCUCAAGGAAGCGUGGAGCAGGGAGGCCUCGAGCAACUUCGAGGCCUUGGUGCCUUCCCUUUGCCCCCCGGAACACUUGAGAGGCAGGAGCUAGGGUGGAGAUUUCUUACCCCACCCAACUUCCUCUUGCAAGUACCGCUGCAACUCUUCCCCAAGAAGAGAGGCCCCCGGCCCUGGGCGCCGUCGGCGGCCGGCGCCCCUCCCCCUUCUUUCUCUGCUUCUCUGAGACCCAGGGAGGGAGGAGGCAGGCGCCUCUGCAGAUAGAGCAGCUAUUGUGACCUUCCCUCGCAGAGCGGGAACCCAGCCGAGUGUGUACUGCCGAGUGUGUACUGCCGGCGGUGGCGGGGGAGGAGGCGACUGUGUGCAAACCUUGGCUUGGGAGGGGGUGGCACUGGGAAAUAAAGGUUUGCAACCUUGGGCAGUUGGGUCCUUCAGAGGGCGUUUGGUUGUGUUUAGACUUGGGUGCUUCCUAACACUAAUUGCAGGCUCAAGAAGGGGAAUUUAUGGUGAGGGCCAAGGCGGCUUGUUUAUAAUUUAUGAAGUUUUAAAAGGCUGUGCCAGGGGCCCGGCUCUCACCAGGGCGGGUGGCCGCGUGGGAGCACGCUCUCCAGGACUCGCUGCCGCCCCCACUCACGCUGGGAGCGAUCGAGUGUGCCCAUCACAUGACUCACGCCAGUGACAGGAACGGAUUGGAGCCACUCUCAGAUGUCUUGGGAACCACCAGAGGUGGGGAAAAGCCAAGAUUUGGUCCUAGCCAACCGCCCCCCGACACACACACCCUGGAACGGAGGGCCCCGGGGAGCCGCAGCUGCUCAGAGAGGGAGCCCCCAGCCCGGCACUUCUUGGUGCCUGAGUGUGAGAGGAAGCUGAUGUCAGCCUGGCAAGACACCGUUUAAAGUCUAAUCCAUGAAACCCAAAGCCACAGAUGACACUUGGGGCUUUGCAGACACCCGCAGACUCAGCAGAUACUACUGUGGUAACACAGGGCGCUGGAAAACGCCUGAAGCCAUGAUGCAUUAUGUAUUUUUAUUAUUAUUAUUUAUGGUAGGAAGAGAUGAGGGAAAACCAGGAUGAAUCUAAACAGCCUGACGAUUCAUCUAUUUAAUAUUUAGCCAGUUAAGAAAGGUGGUUGUAAUCCUUGCAAGGCAACAAGAUCUUGAUUCCCCUAAUAGCUUAAAAAAUAAUUUUGUACAAGACAAUUAGAAAUUCUGCCUAUGGAUGCAAAUUUCAUAGAAAACAAUGUUAAGCCUUGAAACUGGGUAAAAUGUCUUCAAAUGAAGUCAUUUAUUCUGUCGAUACACAUCUACAACAUACAUACUUUAAACCUGCUCAGAUAAAGUGAAAUUUAGCAAAAUAUCCCCUCCUGCCCCCAAUCUAGCAUGCCAUUUUAAAAACAGCACAACAGAACAAAAAAACUGAAUGUUAUUUUGAGCCAUCAUUAGUGAAACACAAACAUCCAAAUAGAAACAAUUGUUGUUCCACCAGAAGAUAAGUUAAAUUAUUUCCACACAAUAGGGAUUUCACCUCUUGUCACCAAGGAUGUAGUAGGAGUUGCAUUAUUUGUCAAACCAAAUAGAGAUGCGUGGGCUGACUUUGCUAAAAUACAAAAGAAUUGAAACUUAUUUGAAGGCGUUUUCAAGUGUCCCCUCCCAUAGAAGCGAGUGUUGUCUGCUGCUAGCUAGAGCCACAUUAAUAUUUACAAAAUGGUUAUGAAUCUUUGAAGACAUAUUUGCCCGUUUUGUACAAAGAAACAGGAGUAAACAGUUUUUAUACGUGUUAUGUUCCAUUAGUGAAACAUUUAUUACUUUACAUCGUGGAGAACAUUUGUUUUCUUUAGAAAUGAACUACCCACCACUACAAAGGAAAACUUCACAACAGCAUUUCCUAGAGAAAAGGCUUAGGUGCCUGUCUCCAAAUGAUUUUUUUUGGCACCUUAGCUCUUCAUAGCUCAAGUCUUAUGAAUUCCUUUGUGUCUUUUCUUUGAUUGUCAGUUUUCUUUCAAAGUUUUUUUAUUACUUAAUGCAGAAAAAUGAGCUCUGGCCUCCCUAAUGUAACAGUUGAUUGUGUCUGGAGAGAGGAUGAUAGAAAUGGCCAGGCAGGCGCUGCAGUGGCAAAGCCCUGUCCCAGUCAUCCCACACAGGACAUUUCUAGGUUUGCACCCUCAGACACCCCCCUCCAUUUCAAUAACUGGAAUGUAAGCAAGUAUCACCCAAAAAAUCAAUUUAUGUACUAGAUUCCAAAUAAAUAAAAGUUUUUCAAAGGGUCAGCCUUGUUCUUGGUCUUCCAUUGGGAUUGUUCAAAAGAUAAAGGCAGAGUGAUGUGCUUGCAAGUGUGUGUGAUUAACACAGAUAGACUUCCAACUGAGAAAAGUUUUUAUUCUAAAUAUUUGUUCAAAUAGUACCAGACAAUUUGAAAUCAAUAAACUGUGACAAGUGGCAAGGGCUGUGGCUGUUGAGAAAUGAAUAAGGUGUGUUGUGCCAUGCCACCGGGCUGCUUGACUCUACGACCAUGAAGGACAAUUUGUGGUCUUAAUCCUUUACAUCAACUACAAACACCAGCCAUGGUUACAACUGUUCAAAACUACUCUCAACUAGUUCAGACCAAGGGGACUAAACAGGUGAAAUGUGGCCCCCAAAGCCUGGGAGCACGUUCCUAAGCUCGGCUGGAGAAUUCUACAAAUAUACACAUAAAUACAUUAAGAGGAGGAAUAAAUAAUCAGGGAAACGAAAUGAAUCGCUUCAAAUAAUAAAUACAGAUCGUUUAGUCCAAUGCAAUCCUUACUGGACGGGGAAGGAGCAUAUAAAUUAAGAUCUCCAAAACUAAGCUAGAUGCAGGCCAGGCCCAGGACUCUCCAACUCUAGUCCUUCCGCAGGCAGGGCGCAUGGCCAACGGGUCUCAGACUUACCUUCGGGACACCAUUACCAGACUAGAGUCCCUCGGUCCGCAGUAUAUGGCACUGUCAGGCUUGCAGGGGAGGAUCCUUGCGGCUGAUUUAUGGCGAGUCACCCGAAGGAGGACGCGCAUGGAGGGGAGGCCCCAUAGCCUCUGCCUCAGCAGCUGGAGACCUGGGAAGCAGGGGCCAGGCCAGAGCUGGGGAGGGGGGUCCCCGAGCUGCCCCGCGGGACCCGCCCGCCGCCACCCCCCCCCCCACCAAAACAAAAG
rnacentral:lncRNA from 1 species